rnacentral:rRNA from 1 species
AUGAAAACAACAUAUAAAACUUUGGACAAUUUCGGAACCAGCCAAGCGAACUUGGCAAUCGUAGCAAUUUAUGUAAAGCCUCCUGAUCCGGAGAAACAUGCUCGAUACACUUGUGGGAAUGAAAAAGAAAAACAUGAGAUACUUUUUCUAGAAAUAUGAACUAAUGAAAGUUUAACCCCUAAGGAAGCACUUUAUGAGGCUUCUCAUAAUUUGAUUGAUUUAUUUCUUCCUUUUCUACAUGUGGAAGAAAAGGGCACUGGUUUCGAAGAAAAUAAAAACAAGAUUCUGAAAAAAGUUCAUGCAUUUUUUUAA